rnacentral:rRNA from 1 species
CCUACGGGAGGCAGCAGUGAGGAAUAUUGGUCAAUGGACGAGAGUCUGAACCAGCCAAGUAGCGUGAAGGAUGACUGCCCUAUGGGUUGUAAACUUCUUUUAUAAAAGAGUAAAACGAGGCACGUGUGCCUUUUUGCAUGUACUUUAUGAAUAAGGAUCGGCUAACUCCGUGCCAGCAGCCGCGGUAAUACGGAGGAUCCGAGCGUUAUCCGGAUUUAUUGGGUUUAAAGGGAGCGUAGAUGGGUUGUUAAGUCAGAUGUGAAAUUUUGAGGCUCAACCGUAAAAUUGCCAUUGAUACUGGCAGUCUUGAGUAUAGUUGAGGUAGGCGGAAUGCGUGGUGUAGCGGUGAAAUGCUUAGAUAUCACGAAGAACCCCGAUUGCGAAGGCAGCUUACUAAACUGUGACUGACAUUGAUGCUCGAAAGUGUGGGUAUCAAACAGGAUUAGAUACCCCGGUAGUC